UUUUCUCCUAAAAGUUUCAGCCAGCAUGACCACACACAUGCUAGUUAUUGAUACAGGAACUGCUCCAAUAUUCAUCGGUUGGUGGAUCAUAUGGCACCUUAAGGUUUAGGUGAACAUUUGGAGCGUUUGGGAACAUUUGUGUUAGGAAAUUGCGGUUCUUGGUUUUUCGACUUCUACAGUGCACAUGGUAUCUGGUGCGAGCACUAUCCACACACAAYGCAGAAAAAGAUGCCGAGAAGUGUAAAAUCAUAGAUGGCAUGAUUGCAAUAUUUCGGGUACUUGU